CAGCUCCCCUUUAUCCGACCAGCCGCCACGUCCUGUAACCAAAAAUGACCGGGAUGAAUGUCUGGCUCCC
rnacentral:lncRNA from 1 species